AACUUUGUGAAAUGACUUGAGAGGUGUAGGAUAAAUGGGAGCUGGAAACAUCGAAAGUGAAAUAACACUACUUUUAACGUUAUUUUACUUAUUCCGUGAAUCGGAGGCGGAGCGCUGUCCCUCUUUUUGGUCCCAAAGUUAAUUAAUGGAAUGCAUUCAUGCGUUUAUCUAUUU
rnacentral:ncRNA from 2 species